GAUGAACGCUGGCGGCGUGCCUAAUACAUGCAAGUCGAGCGAACAGACGAGGAGCUUGCUCCUCUGACGUUAGCGGCGGACGGGUGAGUAACACGUGGAUAACCUACCUAUAAGACUGGGAUAACUUCGGGAAACCGGAGCUAAUACCGGAUAACAUGUUGAACCGCAUGGUUCAACAGUGAAAGACGGUCUUGCUGUCACUUAUAGAUGGAUCCGUGCCGCAUUAGCUAGUUGGUAAGGUAACGGCUUACCAAGGCAACGAUGCGUAGCCGACCUGAGAGGGUGAUCGGCCACACUGGAACUGAGACACGGUCCAGACUCCUACGGGAGGCAGCAGUAGGGAAUCUUCCGCAAUGGGCGAAAUCCUGACGGAGCAACGCCGCGUGAGUGAAGAAGGUCUUCGGAUCGUAAAACUCUGUUAUUAGGGAAGAACAAAUGUGUAAGUAACUAUGCACGUCUUGACGGUACCUAAUCAGAAAGCCACGGCUAACUACGUG
rnacentral:rRNA from 1 species